UUUAUCAUCUAACUUGAAAUAUGUCAAACUUUAAGUGGCAAAAUAAAAUUAUUCUCGUUAACCCCACAGAACUGUUAGUUAAGUUAGGUGCAUUCUCGUACUUUUUUAAGUCAACAUCAGUUAAUUGUUAAAAAUAAUGGUUUUAGGAGAUAGAUUGAAAUUUUCAUACUUUUAAAGGAUAAGUUGAAGUGUGUUAAUUUAAUAAGGGAGUGGGAUGAAAUUUACGCUUUAAGAUCUUCUUAGUUGAUGAAAUCAGAGUGCUAUAUGCUUCGUAAAAAAGGCACUCAAUUUUUACUUUUAGACAGAAAAUAAAGACAUUGGUAACCAAAAUCAUGCUUAUGUAAUUAAGCAACCAUUACUUGGAGUUAUGUUCAAUUAAAAAUAGUAUCCAUCAAGGAUAAAUCUUAGCCACGCCUAAAGUGAUCGUAUGGAAUUAAUUAGUUAACCUAAACUCAACCAUACGCCCCGAAAUUGCUGUAAUGGAGUAAUUGUAAGUAUCACGAAGGUUAACUAACUCAAUUUUUAGGUCCUUCCUUUAUUAGAAUAUACUAUCUAUAUAAGAAUUUCAACUAAUAAGAGAUUAUACUUCUUCCAAUUUGUUGAUGAAGAAAUCUAUUCAGUAAUGUUGUGACCAAGUGUCUAUACCAACACUUCAAUUUGUAUUAAUGGAAACAACAUGAGCUUGCACUUCUUUUACUCGAGCAAAUACUUGUGAUCACGUGUACCUCCUACGAAACUCACUUGUACCCACAAAGAACAGUUAGGGGGGCGAUGUAUGUUUUUUCGGCAUGAAUUCUUCGAUGCUCAAGUAAGGAAUCAAGUCUUUUUCGGAAAAAAAAAAAAAAAAAAACUUGUGCCAUGACUCACGUGGCUUAAUUCUAAUAAUUUCUUUUUUCUUUAAACAACAAAACUUUUUGGUGGAAACUAAAGAAAAUUGGGGAAAUAUUAGACAGAAAAAUGAUAGAGAAAAGGAAAAUUGGUGGUGGAGAGAGAAACAUAUUCACCUAGUUUGAAGUUUCAGGGGUUUUACAGAGCUCCGAAACCCACGACCUUGGAUUAAGGAAAUAGUUGUUAAUGGAUCGGGAUCGUGCCCUAAUUUUUCAGAGGAGAUUUGCAAGUUAACUCUUGAUCGAGUCUCCGAGUUGACUUGGUUCGAGCCUCUUAUCGCAUGAUUCUUACACUGUCACAUUUACCAAGCAACCUGCCCACUUCUUGAUACCUCAAGCAAACUGUUUGGGAGAUCUAUUAGAUCCACAUCCCGAGGAAGCUCUCAGCUGUUUCUAAUGCUGAGGAGAGCAUGGAUUGCCUGAAAUGGUCUCCAAUCAUGCUCCCUCUUUUAUCCCUCUAACACAAUUAAAG
rnacentral:lncRNA from 1 species